UACGGGGGGGGCAAGCGUUGUUCGGAAUUACUGGGCGUAAAGGGCUCGUAGGCGGCCAACUCAGUCGGACGUGAAAUCCCUCGGCUUAACCGGGGAACUGCGUCCGAUACUGGAUGGCUUGAGUGUGGGAGAGGGAUGCGGAAUUCCAGGUGUAGCGGUGAAAUGCGCAGAUAUCAGGAGGAACACCGGUGGCGAAGGCGGGUCUCUGGGCAGUAACUGACGCUGAGGAGCGAAAGCGUGGGGAGCAAACAGG
rnacentral:rRNA from 1 species